AGUGAACGGGUGCUGUAUGUGGAGGAUGAGGGCUGCAGUAGGUAUCUCAGAUAGGGGGGAGUGAACGGGUGCUGUAUGUGGAGGAUGAGGGCUGCAGUAGAUAUCUCAGAUAGGGGGGAGUGAACGGGUGUUGUAUGUGGAGGAUGAGGGCUGCAGUAGAUAUCUCAGAUAGGGAGGAGUGAACGGGUGUUGUAUGUGGAGGAUGAGGGCUGCAGUAGAUAUCUCAGAUAGGGAGGAGUGAACGGGUGUUGUAUGUGGAGGAUGAGGGCUGCAGUAGAUAUCUCAGAUAGGGGGGAGUGAACGGGUGUUGUAUGUGGAGGAUGAGGGCUGCAGUAGAUAUCUCAGAUAGGGGGGAGUGAACGGGUGUUGUAUGUGGAGGAUGAGGGCUGCAGUAGAUAUCUCAGAUAGGG
rnacentral:lncRNA from 1 species